rnacentral:RNase_P_RNA from 1 species
UCAGUCGGCUGGAUGGCCGCUGCCUUUCUGGCAGAGGAAAGUCCGGGCUCCAUGGAACAACGGUGCCGGAUAACGUCCGGCGGGGGCGACCCCAGGGAAAGUGCCACAGAAAACAAACCACUCCGGCCGCGCUCGCGCUGCCGGAGCCAGGGUGAAAUGGUGCGGCAAGAGCGCACCGCGCGGCCAGCAAUGGCAUCGGCAUGGCAAACCCCACCGGGAGCAAAACCGCAUAGGGAUGAUCGAGGCAUGGCGACAUGGCUCAGGCCUUGUUUCAGGCUUUCAUCCGGGUUGGUUGCUUGAGGCCGGCGGCAACGCCGGUCCCAGAGGAAUGGCCAUCACGUCGCAGCUCUGCAAGGAGAGGCGGCCAUACAGAACCCGGCUUACAGGCCGACUGGCAAU